rnacentral:rRNA from 1 species
AAACUGAAGAGUUUGAUCCUGGCUCAGAUUGAACGCUGGCGGCAUGCCUAACACAUGCAAGUCGAACGGUAACAGCAGAGCUUGCUCUGGCUGACGAGUGGCGGACGGGUGAGUAAUGCAUAGGAAUCUGCCCUAUAGUGGGGGACAACUACCGGAAACGGUAGCUAAUACCGCA